AGGGCCGCCCUCUGGCUUGGGAAGACGUACUUGGUUCCGGCAGCUAUGUAUGGCAGCCAGGUCUGGGCUACUGGUUUUUUGCAACAGGAUUCAGUGUUUAAAAGUGAUCUGCAGGUCAGGCACUUGGGUUUUUUGAAGCGCAUUCUAGGGGUGAAGCGCUCCACUUCCAAUUGGGUAGUUCUGCGAGAGUGUGGACAUGAGCCUCUGCAAUUCAAUUGGUUUAGAGG
rnacentral:lncRNA from 1 species